AGCAGUGUGGUGUAGCGGUAAGGCAUGGGGCUUGUAACCAAAAGGUUGCCGGUUCAAUUCCCCACUGGGG